rnacentral:rRNA from 1 species
GACGAACGCUGGCGGUGUGCUUCACACAUGCAAGUCGAACGAGGUAGCAAUACCUAGUGGCGGACGGGUGAGUAACGCGUGGGAAUCUGCCUUUAGAUGGGGGAUAACGAGCCGAAAGGUUCGCUAAUACCGCAUAGGUCGCAAGAUUAAAGGAGUAAUCCGUCUAGAGAUGAGCCCGCGUCCGAUUAGCUAGUUGGUAGGGUAAAGGCCUACCAAGGCGACGAUCGGUAGCUGGUCUGAGAGGAUGAUCAGCCACAAUGGGACUGAGACACGGCCCAUACUCCUACGGGAGGCAGCAGUGGGGAAUUUUACGCAAUGGGCGAAAGCCUGACGUAGCGACACCGCGUGAGCGAAGAAGCCCUUUGGGUGUAAAGCUCUGUCGGGCUGGAACGAAAAAAAUGACGGUACCAGCAAAGGAAGCAUCGGCUAAC